GAGUUUGAUCUUGGCUCAGAUUGAACGCUGGCGGCAUGCCUUACACAUGCAAGUCGAACGGCAGCACGGGAGCUUGCUCCUGGUGGCGAGUGGCGAACGGGUGAGUAAUGCAUCGGAACGUAUCCUGGAGUGGGGGAUAACGUAGCGAAAGUUACGCUAAUACCGCAUAUUCUGUGAGCAGGAAAGCGGGGGACCUUCGGGCCUCGCGCUCUUGGAGCGGCCGAUGUCGGAUUAGCUAGUUGGUGAGGUAAAGGCUCACCAAGGCGACGAUCCGUAGCAGGUCUGAGAGGAUGAUCUGCCACACUGGAACUGAGACACGGUCCAGACUCCUACGGGAGGCAGCAGUGGGGAAUUCUGGACAAUGGGGGCAACCCUGAUCCAGCCAUGCCGCGUGAGUGAAGAAGGCCUCGGUGUAAG
rnacentral:rRNA from 1 species